rnacentral:lncRNA from 1 species
CGUGGUUCUGGCAGCUGCCCAAUUCAACAGGCAGCUCUCUUAUUGUGUCAGAGGCAGCAGCUGCCCUGGCAGCCCACUUCUUGUGGUGUGGCUUCAGGAGAGGACCCAGGAAUCUCAGACCGAAGUCUGUUAUUUCAGCCCUCCCAAUAAUUCCAUGAGCCAUUGAAUAUAAUAUACCUCUUUCUGCUUAAACUAGCUAGAGUGGAUUCUGUCUCUACAAAUGGACUCUGACCCAUGCAAUUUCCACAAGGAAUAUUUAGAUAUUGAAAAGAGAUCAAGAACCCAUCACUACCUGUUCAGAUCAAUCUAGCCUUUUCCCAGUUCUCAAAAAAAAAAAUCUUAGAACCAGGUGGAAUCUUCAUUGCAUUCAUUUUAAAUGUUUAGUAUCCAAGCACAAGGGCUAGUGCUUAUUUCCAUAUGUAUGUAAAAAUUAUUUAACUUAUUUUAUAUUGGCCUCAAAAUCCUUACUUUCACAAGUAAGAAAAUUGAUCAUAAAAAUCAUUUUCUAUUUCAUGUUCACACCUCUCUAUUAGAGAGUAAAGAAGUUAAUCAACUAAUAGUUUGUGUCUACAUUGAUCCAUUUCCCUCUUCCCCAGGGAACUCUAAGGUAUUAGGAAAUUUUUAAGCUUCAGAAUAAAAGCAAAAUAUGGCAGCACAAAACUGUCUGUUGGGAAUUUGAAAAUAAUUUUGAGAUGCUAAGAAGAACAAUUUAAAAAUCUUUAGUUAACGACAAAUGAGUUAUUAUUCGGGGAAAAAACUCUACUACUGAUUUUGCUGAAUAUUAACUAAUUCAAACUUAUUGGCCAGAAUGUACACACUUUUCUUGGCUUAUUAGAAUAAAAAGAUUAUAGAUCACAUUAUUUUCUUAAAGAUUAAAUUUAAUGAUUUUCCCUUGAUUGCAUGUUCAUUGUAGAAAUCCACAAUCCAUAAUCCUACCACCCAUAUAUAACUAUUGAUAAUCUUAGUACAUAUUCUUGUCUCUUUCUUUUGUGUAUGCGUGUACUAUUGACUUUACUUUCUUUUUUUGAAUAAUACAUUAUAUUACAAAAAUGGCUUUAA